rnacentral:lncRNA from 1 species
UCAGCCUCUCUGUGCAUUAGAAUGCAUAUGUGACUAACUAACAGCCCCUUGAGGGCAGUUUCAGUGUUAGAAGUAACUAAACUCUUUGACUUUGUCAUCAGAUUUUUGAUCUCUUUUAUUUUUUAUAACUACAACGUUAAGUGGAAAUAAUAUCUUUAAAGUCCUUAAGGUGCCCAAGAAAGCUGUCCCACAAGAAAAAGAGCCUGGUACCGAACCCAAAAAACUGGAAUUAUUUCCAGGCAAAGUGCCCAAGGUGCCCAAGAAAGCCGCUCUGGAAGAGCCCGUGCCUGUAGCUGCUUCAAAAAAGCCAGAACCAGCACCAGCCCAAGCGCCUGAAGUGCCCAGGAAAACUACUCGAGAAGAAAAAGUACCUGUGGUCACUGCCAAAGCACCCGAGCCUCCAGCAGCCAGAGGUACCUGACUUGGUGGAUAACUUGACAGAGAAGAUGCUUAAUCCGCUUCUCUUGAGCGUUGUCCUGCCCUCUCUUGGCCUGUCUUUGUUUCAAAUCUGAGACUCUUGAAGUUGUGAAUGUUGGGUAAACUGUGCUGCAGCAUGUGAG